rnacentral:misc_RNA from 1 species
AAUCCAAUCAAGCCUGGCUUGGUAUUGGGCGUCGGGAGUCCCCCGCGCCCCAAUUUCACCGGCUGGCCGUCGCCCGUCUUAGCGUUGUGACACACUUCUCGCUGACGAUGGGAGCGGACCACGCCGUUACAACCCCAAGAAUUUCAAUCGAAAUUCGAUUAGG